rnacentral:rRNA from 1 species
UGUAAGCGUAUACCAAAGUUGUUGCAGUUAAAACGCUCGUAGUCGGAAUUUGGCAGUUCCGGAAGUGUGCACGUCGUGUGCGCACUUUGCGGGGACUGCUUUUGUGGUCUUGCGUAGGAUGAGGCACUUUCAUUAGUGAACGUCCUCACGCAACCACUCUUUACUGUGAGAAAAUCAGAGUGCUCAAAGCAGGCAUUUGCCGUGAAUGUAUUAGCAUGGAAUAAUAGAAUAGGACUCGGUUCUAUUUUGUUGGUUUGUUGGGACUGAGUAAUGAUUAAGAGGGACAGUUGGGGGCAUUUGUAUUCCGGCGCUAGAGGUGAAAUUCUUAAAUUGCCGGAAGACAAACUGCUGCGAAAGCGUCUGCCAAGGAUGUUUUCAUUGA